UAAUGAAGGAAGCAUGGUAAUGUGCACAGAGAAUGAAUCUUUGGGUCCGCAUGUCUGCUCUCCCUGAUGCCUUUGAAGGGCUCUGAUUUGAGGGCCUGGUUACGACCUACAUCU